rnacentral:rRNA from 1 species
GACGAACGCUGGCGGCGUGCCUAAUACAUGCAAGUAGAACGCACAGUUUAUACCGUAGCUUGCUACACCAUAGACUGUGAGUUGCGAACGGGUGAGUAACGCGUAGGUAACCUGCCUGGUAGCGGGGGAUAACUAUUGGAAACGAUAGCUAAUACCGCAUAAUAUUAAUUAUUGCAUGAUAAUUAAUUGAAAGGUGCAAUUGCACCACUACCAGAUGGACCUGCGUUGUAUUAGCUAGUAGGUGAGGUAACGGCUCACCUAGGCGACGAUACAUAGCCGACCUGAGAGGGUGAUCGGCCACACUGGGACUGAGACACGGCCCAGACUCCUACGGGAGGCAGCAGUAGGGAAUCUUCGGCAAUGGACGAAAGUCUGACCGAGCAACGCCGCGUGAGUGAAGAAGGUUUUCGGAUCGUAAAGCUCUGUUGUAAGAGAAGAACGGGUGUGAGAGUGGAAAGUUCACACUGCGACGGUAGCUUACCAGAAAGGGACGGCUAACUACGUG